UUGGAGGGCAAGUCUGGUGCCAGCAGCCGCGGUAAUUCCAGCUCCAAUAGCGUAUAUUAAAGUUGUUGCAGUUAAAAAGCUCGUAGUUGAAUUUCGGGGUCAAUAAGUUGGUCGUGCCAAUGGUAUGUACUGGCUUUAUUGAUUCCUACCUCUUGACGAACUGUGAUGCCAUUAAUUUGGUGUUGCAGGAAAUCAGGACUGUUACCUUGAAAAAAUUAGAGUGUUUAAAGCAGGCUUACGCUUGAAUACAUUAGCAUGGAAUAAUGAAAUAGGACGUUUGAACCUACUUUGUUGGUUUCUAGGAUCGACGUAAUGAUUAAUAGGGAUAGUUGGGGGCAUUAGUAUUCAAUUGUCAGAGGUGAAAUUCUUGGAUUUAUUGAAGACUAACUACUGCGAAAGCAUUUGCCAAGGAUGUUUUCAUUAAUCAAGAACGAAAGUUAGGGGAUCGAAGACGAUCAGAUACCGUCGUAGUCUUAACCAUAAACUAUGCCGACUAGGGAUCGGAUGAUGUUAAUUUUUUAAUGACUCAUUCGGCGCCUUACGGGAAAC
rnacentral:rRNA from 1 species